UGGGGAAUUUUGGACAAUGGGGGAAACCCUGAUCCAGCCAUCCCGCGUGUGCGAUGAAGGCCUUCGGGUUGUAAAGCACUUUUGGCAGGAAAGAAACGUCGCGGGUUAAUACCCCGCGGAACUGACGGUACCUGCAGAAUAAGCACCGGCUAACUACGUGCCAGCAGCCGCGGUAAUACGUAGGGUGCAAGCGUUAAUCGGAAUUACUGGGCGUAAAGCGUGCGCAGGCGGUUCGGAAAGAAAGAUGUGAAAUCCCAGAGCUUAACUUUGGAACUGCAUUUUUUAACUACCGGGCUAGAGUGUGUCAGAGGGAGGUGGAAUUCCGCGUGUAGCAGUGAAAUGCGUAGAUAUGCGGAGGAACACCGAUGGCGAAGGCAGCCUCCUGGGAUAACACUGACGCUCAUGCACGAAAGCGUGGGGAGCAAACAGGAUUAGAUACCCUGGUAGUCCACGCCCUAAACGAUGUCAACUAGCUGUUGGGGUCUUCGGACCUUGGUAGCGCAGCUAACGCGUGAAGUUGACCGCCUGGGGAGUACGGUCGCAAGAUU
rnacentral:rRNA from 1 species